rnacentral:rRNA from 1 species
GGGUUGUGAGGUUAAGCGACUAAGCGUACACGGUGGAUGCCCUGGCAGUCAGAGGCGAUGAAGGACGUGCUAAUCUGCGAUAAGCGUCGGUAAGGUGAUAUGAACCGUUAUAACCGGCGAUUUCCGAAUGGGGAAACCCAGUGUGUUUCGACACACUAUCAUUAACUGAAUCCAUAGGUUAAUGAGGCGAACCGGGGGAACUGAAACAUCUAAGUACCCCGAGGAAAAGAAAUCAACCGAGAUUCCCCCAGUAGCGGCGAGCGAACGGGGAGCAGCCCAGAGCCUGAAUCAGUGUGUGUGUUAGUGGAAGCGUCUGGAAAGGCGCGCGAUACAGGGUGACAGCCCCGUACACAAAAAUGCACAUGCUGUGAGCUCGAUGAGUAGGGCGGGACACGUGGUAUCCUGUCUGAAUAUGGGGGGACCAUCCUCCAAGGCUAAAUACUCCUGACUGACCGAUAGUGAACCAGUACCGUGAGGGAAAGGCGAAAAGAACCCCGGCGAGGGGAGUGAAAAAGAACCUGAAACCGUGUACGUACAAGCAGUGGGAGCACGCUUAGGCGUGUGACUGCGUACCUUUUGUAUAAUGGGUCAGCGACUUAUAUUCUGUAGCAAGGUUAACCGAAUAGGGGAGCCGAAGGGAAACCGAGUCUUAACUGGGCGUUAAGUUGCAGGGUAUAGACCCGAAACCCGGUGAUCUAGCCAUGGGCAGGUUGAAGGUUGGGUAACACUAACUGGAGGACCGAACCGACUAAUGUUGAAAAAUUAGCGGAUGACUUGUGGCUGGGGGUGAAAGGCCAAUCAAACCGGGAGAUAGCUGGUUCUCCCCGAAAGCUAUUUAGGUAGCGCCUCGUGAAUUCAUCUCCGGGGGUAGAGCACUGUUUCGGCAAGGGGGUCAUCCCGACUUACCAACCCGAUGCAAACUGCGAAUACCGGAGAAUGUUAUCACGGGAGACACACGGCGGGUGCUAACGUCCGUCGUGAAGAGGGAAACAACCCAGACCGCCAGCUAAGGUCCCAAAGUCAUGGUUAAGUGGGAAACGAUGUGGGAAGGCCCAGACAGCCAGGAUGUUGGCUUAGAAGCAGCCAUCAUUUAAAGAAAGCGUAAUAGCUCACUGGUCGAGUCGGCCUGCGCGGAAGAUGUAACGGGGCUAAACCAUGCACCGAAGCUGCGGCAGCGACGCUGAUGCGUUGUUGGGUAGGGGAGCGUUCUGUAAGCCUGCGAAGGUGUGCUGUGAGGCACGCUGGAGGUAUCAGAAGUGCGAAUGCUGACAUAAGUAACGAUAAAGCGGGUGAAAAGCCCGCUCGCCGGAAGACCAAGGGUUCCUGUCCAACGUUAAUCGGGGCAGGGUGAGUCGACCCCUAAGGCGAGGCCGAAAGGCGUAGUCGAUGGGAAACAGGUUAAUAUUCCUGUACUUGGUGUUACUGCGAAGGGGGGACGGAGAAGGCUAUGUUGGCCGGGCGACGGUUGUCCCGGUUUAAGCGUGUAGGCUGGUUUUCCAGGCAAAUCCGGAAAAUCAAGGCUGAGGCGUGAUGACGAGGCACUACGGUGCUGAAGCAACAAAUGCCCUGCUUCCAGGAAAAGCCUCUAAGCAUCAGGUAACAUCAAAUCGUACCCCAAACCGACACAGGUGGUCAGGUAGAGAAUACCAAGGCGCUUGAGAGAACUCGGGUGAAGGAACUAGGCAAAAUGGUGCCGUAACUUCGGGAGAAGGCACGCUGAUAUGUAGGUGAAGUCCCUCGCGGAUGGAGCUGAAAUCAGUCGAAGAUACCAGCUGGCUGCAACUGUUUAUUAAAAACACAGCACUGUGCAAACACGAAAGUGGACGUAUACGGUGUGACGCCUGCCCGGUGCCGGAAGGUUAAUUGAUGGGGU